rnacentral:rRNA from 1 species
ACCCUUUGUGACAUACCUAUAACUGUUGCUUCGGCGGGUAGGGUCUCCGCGACCCUCCCGGCCUCCCGCCUCCGGGCGGGUCGGCGCCCGCCGGAGGAUAACCAAACUCUGAUUUAACGACGUUUCUUCUGAGUGGUACAAGCAAAUAAUCAAAACUUUUAACAACGGAUCUCUUGGUUCUGGCAUCGAUGAAGAACGCAGCGAAAUGCGAUAAGUAAUGUGAAUUGCAGAAUUCAGUGAAUCAUCGAAUCUUUGAACGCACAUUGCGCCCGCCAGCAUUCUGGCGGGCAUGCCUGUUCGAGCGUCAUUUCAACCCUCAAGCUCUGCUUGGUGUUGGGGCCCUACAGCUGAUGUAGGCCCUCAAAGGUAGUGGCGGACCCUCCCGGAGCCUCCUUUGCGUAGUAACUUUACGUCUCGCACUGGGAUCCGGAGGGACUCUUGCCGUAAAACCCCCCAAUUUUCCAAAGGUUGACCUCGGAUCAGGUAGGAAUACCCGCUGAACUUAAGCAUAUCAAUAARGCGGAGGAA